rnacentral:lncRNA from 1 species
UUGUAGCUUUUUUUUUUUUUUUUUUUUUCUGUGGAAAAGUUUGACGAAUUAAUUGUGAUCUCAGUGGUUUUUUAUGAUCUCGGUGUUCGAGAUUUCUCUGUGAGAUUUGGAAAUUGGUUACUGGGGUUUUAUGCAUGAAUUGAAUUUGGGGGAGGUACAGUAAAUUUUUUUUCUCCAUUUUUUUGAUUGAUGACUCAGUGAGUAGGUUGAUUGAUUUGAUGAAGAACUCAGUGGGUUUAGGGUUAUGUGAUAAAUCGAAAUUGAAGUAUAAUUGGUAGGAAAUGUUGUGGGUAGAUUUGAUUUAGAGAGGCUGUAGUGAGUGAGAUGUCAUCUGCAUCUCCAUCCCCAAAUUCUCCUCCGGUAGCUGCCGCUCCGCCACCUCAGCCUUCUCCUUCUCCGCCGGCGAAUUCUUCCCCACCGCCUCAAUCGAAUUCACCUCCUCCACAAACUCCUAUUGCACCACCACCUCAGCCCAAUUCACCUCCGCCCCAACCCAAUUCUCCUCCACCGGACCCCCNNN